rnacentral:rRNA from 1 species
UACAGGGGGUGCAAACGUUGCUCGGAAUCAUUGGGCGUAAAGCGCACGUAGGCGGUCUGUUAUGUCGGAUGUGAAAGCCCUUGGCUUAACUGAGGAAGUGCAUCCGAAACUGGCAGGCUAGAGUACUAAAGAGGGUCGCGGAAUUCCCGGUGUAGAGGUGAAAUUCGUAGAUAUCGGGAGGAACACCUAUGGCGAAGGCAGCUCGCUGGGACGUUACUGACGCUGAGACGCGAAAGCGUGGGGAGCAAACAGG